CGGGUGAGUAACGCGUGAGGAACCUGCCUCAAAGAGGGGGACAACAGUUGGAAACGACUGCUAAUACCGCAUAAGCCCACGGCUCGGCAUCGAGCAGAGGGAAAAGGAGCAAUCCGCUUUGAGAUGGCCUCGCGUCCGAUUAGCUAGUUGGUGAGGUAACGGCCCACCAAGGCGACGAUCGGUAGCCGGACUGGGAGGUUGAACGGCCACAUUGAGACUGAGACACGGCCCAG
rnacentral:rRNA from 1 species